AUUGAACGCUGGCGGCAGGCCUAACACAUGCAAGUCGAACGAGUGGCGGACGUGUGAGUAAUGUCUGUGAACCUGCCCGUUGGAGGGGGAUACAUACUGGAACAGGUAGCUAAUACCGCAUACCAUCGGAUGUGCCUAGAUGGGAUUAGCUAGUGGGUGGGGUAAAGGCUCACCUGGGCGACGAUCCCUAGCUGGUCUGAGAGGAUGACCAGCCACACUGGAACUGAGACACGGUCCAGACUCCUACGGGAGGCAGCAGUGGGGAAUAUUGCACAAUGGGCGCAAGCCUGAUGCAGCCAUGCCGCGUGUAUGAAGAAGGCCUUCGGGUUGUAAAGUACUUUCAGCGGGGAGGCGUUACCCGCAGAAGAAGCACCGGCUAACUCCGUGCCAGCCGCCGCGGUAAUAC
rnacentral:rRNA from 1 species